GACGAACGCUGGCGGCGUGCUUAACACAUGCAAGUCGAACGGAAAGGCCUCUUUCGGGGGGUACUCGAGUGGCGAACGGGUGAGUAACACGUGAGUAACCUGCCCUUGACUUUGGGAUAACUUCAGGAAACUGGGGCUAAUACCGGAUAGGAGCUCCUGCUGCCUGGUGGGGGUUGGAAAGUUUCGGCGGUUGGGGAUGGACUCGCGGCUUAUCAGCUUGUUGGUGGGGUAGUGGCUUACCAAGGCUUUGACGGGUAGCCGGCCUGAGAGGGUGACCGGCCACAUUGGGACUGAGAUAAGGCCCAGACUCCUACGGGAGGCAGCAGUGGGGAAUAUUGCACAAUGGGUGGAAGCCUGAUGCAGCAACGCCGUGUGCGGGAUGACGGCCUUCGGGUUGUAAACCGCUUUCGCUCAUGACGAAGCUUUGUGUGACGGUAGUGGGUAAAGAAGCACCGGCUAACUACGUG
rnacentral:rRNA from 1 species